UUCCGGUUGAUCCUGCCGGAGGAUACUGCUAUUCGGAUUCGACUAAGCCAUGCAAGUUGAGAGUCUUCGGGACUCGACGUACUGCUCAGUAAUAUAUGGUUAACCUACCCUAAAGUCAGGGAUAAUCUCGAGAAAUUGAGGCUAAUACCUGAUAGAUAUUCUGGUCUGGAAUGAUAGAAUAUCCAAAGAUCCGUCGCUUUAGGAUGGGACUGUACGCUAUCAGUCUGUUGGGGGCGUAAUGUACCCCCAAAACUAUAACGGCUAUGGGCCAUGAGAGUGGGAGCCCAGAGAUGGAUUCUGAGACAUGAAUCCAGGUCCUACGGGACGCAGCAGGUGCGAAACCUUCACUAUGCAUUAACGUGCGAUGAGGGAGUCUGGAGUGCUUAUGCUUUGCAUAAGCUUUUUUUAAGUAGAAAUAACUUGGAGAAUAAGGGGUGGGUAAGACAAGUGCCAGCCGCCGCGGUAAUACUUGCGCCCCGAGUGGUAUCCGGUAUUAGUUGGUCUAAAGCGUCCGUAGCCGGUUUUGUUAGUCCUUAGUGAAAUCUACUGGAAAACUGGUAGGCUUGCUGGGGAUACUGCAAGACUUGGGAUCGGGAGAGGGCAGAGGUACUGCUGGGGAAGGGGUAAAAUCCUAUAAUCCCAGUGGGACCACCUGUGGCGAAGGCGUCUGCCUAGAACGAGUCCGACGGUGAGGGACGAAACCUAGGGUAGCGAUCGGGAUUAGAUACCCCGGUAGUCCUAGGCGUAAACGAUGCCCACUUGGUGUUACAAACCUUACGAGGGUUUGUAGUGCCGGAGCGUAGGUGUUAAGUGGGCCACCUGGGGAGUACGACCGCAAGGUUGAAACUUAAGGGAAUUGGCGGGGGAGCACACAAGGAGUGGAGGCUGCGGUUCAAUUGGAUCAACGCCGGG
rnacentral:rRNA from 1 species